rnacentral:pre_miRNA from 1 species
AGUGCAAUUGCUGGGUUGUAUGGUGAUUGCAUGUGUACUUUUUAAAGAAUCUGCCAAACUAUUUUCAAGAGUGGCUGUACCAUGUUAUAUUCCUACCAGCAAU